AGCCCAAUUUAUGUUAUUACCGGAGAGCAACAGGGGAAGAGAGAUUUUUCUCUUAUGACUAUAUUUUCUGGAACUAACAUUUAGAUUUAAGAAGAUACAAUGACUAGUUGAGGUUUGUCAUAGAAACAAACAUCUGUUUAUUGAUCAAAAUAAAACUUACAAGUGCAGAGGAGAAGAAAAUACGAUUACAUUAGCAGAGGACAUAAAACCAAAAGCCUUUCCUCACUAAAUCACAAAAGUAAAUCUGAUUUUAUUAUUAUAUUAUCUCCUGUGGGGAUUGUGCAAUGAUUUUUGAGAUCCCUCAAAGAGAUCCAACAAAUAAUUUUGUAAGUCAUCAGCACUGUACUUGAUGUGCUUGUCGCUUAUGUGAUUUGUAUGCCUUCCAACAAAUGUUCGAUAGGCCUGAAUCACCUUCAGAGAUGUUGAAAUUCGCAAAUCUUCCCGAAGCUCAGCAUCAGGAAUGAUCCAUGCUGUUUGAGUCCUGUAAACCUCCUCAAAAGCAAGAUAAAAGCUCCGAAACCUCUCCUUGAGAAGGGUUUUUGGAACAGAAUCAGAACUGGAAUUUCCCUCAUCCUUCAACAAAGACAGGACUGAACUCCAAGUAGCUCUCUCAUAGUUCAUCGCAUGCUGUUGGAAUUUCCAGUUGCGUUUUCGUAUCCAGUCAUCCCCAACUAUGUGCCUAAGUUCCGAAUUCUUAACCUUCUGAGCCAUGUAAUGUAUGUUGUUCAUCAAGAAGAUAUGUUGCAAGGAAGGAUCCCUGUAUAACUUGGCCUUGUCAUCAAGGUUGCAUUCUAGAAUUGAAGCAACAGAUCUGAAGUGGAGAGCCAUAGGGGAAGCAUCAAAUGUACUUCCACUUGUGUUCUCUUCUUCUGUAGGCGGACUCGUGUCAGGGGACGAGGUAAUGGGAUCCUCUCCAUCACGAUCCAUGAGAAGCAAAUUGAGGGUCUCACGGUGGUCAGUAAGAGUGUUGAUAUAAUUCAUGACAUACCUAGUGAGAUGAUGAAUUCCACCGCCUGCAAAAGGAUUCGGAGACACACUUGUUGCAAUGGCAUUCUCAAACUCAAGAAAUGCUGCCUUCGCAGAGUCCCCUAAUCUCCUUAGAACCUCACAACAGUCGGUUCUAACACAAAAACCAGACUCAUCAGAGUAUAAAGAAUCUAUAUCUGGAAGAAGAUCUGCAAGAACCUCGUACAUAUCAAGAAUAGGAAACAAUUUCUCUGGUUUGUGGGGACCAAUAGAAAUGGCUUCGCCAAAAUUUAAUAGCUGCAACAUUGAAGCUUUUGAAGCCUCAGAAAAACAAACCAAAUUAACUGUUCCAAGCUCUCCAAAAAUUUGUUCAGUGAGCCAUUUCUCGCUAGCAAGAUAGACCCGCACAAAGAUCUUCAUAGCCCUAACCCAUCUCUUGAUCCUGGAAUUCAAGCUGCCCCACUCCAAUUUCAGCACAUCCUCAAUGCUCAGUUUCUCCAUUUCAAGGAUAAAGAGACAUUCAUCCAAGGCAUCUCUUCUAACGCUAAUAUAUGCCUGGGAACAUUCAUGACCAUAACCGGAGAUGAGCAUUAAAUUUGCAAUAUUUCUGAGGUCAGAAAUUACUUCUGGAUUAACCAAAUCAAUGAUGAAUUCCUCUGAAGCUCUGCUGAUGCUAUCUCUAUUAACUGAUUCCUCAACCGAGUCAUCCCCAAGAGAGAUUACAGAGCCCAGAUCUGUAGCAUCCUCUUCACUUGAACGGAAAGACACGUGCUCUGGCUCAAAAGGUUGCCUGCUUUGAACAAGGAUAUGCUUGAACUCUUCCUCAAGCCUUGCCAUUGCCAUUUGAAGAAUAUCAUGUGCCCUCCUCAACAGCUCCUUUUCUCCAUCAUCUUUAUUCAAAGACAAAGUCUCCAACCUUUCAGCCAACUGUCUGGCUUCUUCAGUGGCAUUUAGAUACUGAGUUGCUUCAUCAAGACCGGAAUCCCAUAUCAUAGACUGAUCUGUCUCCCAACUCAUAAUCUUCUCCUCAAUAACAUUUAACCGUUCCUCGAUCUCACUUGCUGCCUCAACCUUGUUUUCGUUGACUGUGGUUAUGCUAGACAAUUGGGCACUAAGGUCUGCCAAAAUUUUCUUGGCAUCAUCUGUAAGGUUCUUUUUUGAUCCCAAUGCCGUUGCUAUGUGUUUUGCUGCAGCAAUCAAGUCUUCAUCUCUCUCCGAUUCUGGAAUCACAAAGCCACAAUCCCCCAUUGCUAAAGAAUCCACAAAGACCAACCCCCAACUGAUCUCUUUUUUGGGUUCAACAAUCAAAUGGAAUCCAAGUCCACACUUGAUUGUAUUAGAUCACUUUUUCGCCGUGCUAGAUUGGCUUCUAAACUCCAAGCACUAUACUUCAAUUCCAAAAUCAGCGUAUUAAAUGCUACUCUCUAGAUUGUAAUUUCAAGCGUAACCCUUGAGCAUCCGAUUCCAACUGAUAACUCGGAAAGAUCGGCAAGAGGGAAUUGCAAAGCAGAUGAAGAAGAAAGAAAGUGCACGGUUUCAGAUAGAAAAGUAACGAAGUGUACGGUAAGUUCAAAGAAGAACCCAAGUGACCAAUCCUUCUUGGAGGUUCAAGGAAGUUGCAGAAUUUCUUUUUGUUUUUUUGUGUUUUGAACUGGGUCUACAAUUCCAAUGGCUGAUCUUUCUGUCUCUAAUCUGUUUUCUUUGCGUUGCUUUUCGCUGGGAGCAAAGUUGCAUCACUUUGUAUUUCCUAUGUUGUCGUUUCGUGACUGUUGACUAUGAACAGUCUCCGCGCAAGAAUAUCAAACCAAUACGUGUCACCCUCCAUACUUUCAUUUCUG
rnacentral:misc_RNA from 1 species